rnacentral:rRNA from 1 species
CACGGGGGGAGCAAGCGUUGUUCGGAAUCACUGGGCGUAAAGGGCGUGUAGGCGGUCAAGUAAGUGGGAUGUGAAAUCCCCCGGCUUACCCGGGGACCGGCAUCCCAUACUGCUUGGCUUGAAUCCGGGAGAGGGAUGCGGAAUUCCAGGUGUAGCGGUGAAAUGCGUAGAUAUCUGGAGGAACACCGGUGGCGAAGGCGGCAUCCUGGACCGGUAUUGACGCUGAGGCGCGAAAGCCAGGGGAGCAAACGGGGAU